rnacentral:rRNA from 1 species
AACACAUGCAAGUCGAACGGAGCGAAUGAAAGCUUGCUUUUAUAAGCUUAGUGGCAAACGGGUGAGUAACACGUAGGCAACCUGCCGACAGGAUGGGGACAACAUUCCGAAAGGAGUGCUAAUACCGAAUGAAGUCAGAGAAGGGCAUCCCUUUCUGAUGAAAGAUGGCCUCUAUAUAUAAGCUAUCACCUGUUGAUGGGCCUGCGUCUGAUUAGCUGGUAGGUGAGGUAACGGCUCACCUAGGCGACGAUCAGUAGCCGGUCUGAGAGGAUGAACGGCCACAUUGGGACUGAGACACGGCCCAGACUCCUACGGGAGGCAGCAGUGGGGAAUCUUCCGCAAUGGGCGCAAGCCUGACGGAGCAACGCCGCGUGAGUGAAGAAGGUCUUCGGACUCGUAAAGCUCUGUUGAUGGGGACGAACGUGCCUAAUGCGAAUAGUAUUAGGUAAUGACGGUACCCAUCGAGGAAGCCACGGCUAACUACGUG